UACGGGGGGGGCAAGCGUUGUUCGGGAUUACUGGGCGUAAAGGGCUCGUAGGUGGCCAACUAAGUCAGACGUGAAAUCCCUCGGCUUAACCGGGGAACUGCGUCUGAUACUGGAUGGCUUGAGUUCGGGAGAGGGAUGCGGAAUUCCAGGUGUAGCGGUGAAAUGCGUAGAUAUCUGGAGGAACACCGGUGGCGAAGGCGGCAUCCUGGACCGAUACUGACACUGAGGAGCGAAAGCCAGGGGAGCAAACGGG
rnacentral:rRNA from 1 species